ensembl:lncRNA
CGGGAGCGCUAUCCUUUACAGGUGAGAGGAGAGCGGUCCAAUAGGUGUGGGUGGGAGACUUGAAAGUCAGGUUUUUCCUGGCUGGCGGAAAGAGUUCCCCGCGUGGACUGCGGAUGGAUGGAGAUCUGAUGGCGGGGGCCCUGCCAGCCAUUCGUCUGGAGGCACCGACAGCAAACAAACAAUCGUACAAAAGCGGAGGAAUCCCCCCGAUGAGCGAUUCGCUCAAACGAUCGUUCGUCAUCCCUGACCUGUGACACGGGAAGGAGUAGUAGAGGCCAGUAGAACUGUAUACGGACUGAAAUAAACAGCGGCUUUGUCGAAAGACACAAACCUGCCAGUCGAUAAAGUUGCGCAAUGAGACGCAAGAUGAAGUGGCCGCACUGUUGCCCCGGGUCCUGUGUGGGAGUAGAGAGGCUGGCUUUGACAUGCAAUGCUACAUGCAAGAUGGCUCUCAGCUAAUAGGCAGGUGAGUACAUGCACAUGCACACCCCCCCCCCCCCCCCCGCCCCACACUUACACAAACAUGGAUACGAACUCACUAGUCGUACAGUGAAAGACGUCAUUGACAUAACAGUGGAAAGGCAGGAGUAAAGUGCAAAGGGGACAUGAUGAGCUCAAAUAUACGUUUUAAUAUAUUUUUCCUGAAAGAUUUGGUAAAAGCGUUUAACAGUGAAGUCGUGCGGCCUGUUUUGUUAACGUUUGACAGUGACACAUGGGGCUUAAGGGACGUCUCUGACUGAUGACAAAGCGUGAAUAUCACGGCUACGGUUGGCACAUAAAUCCCGUUUUAGAUCCUCGGGGCCGUGACUCAUAACACCAAAACCAACACUCGAUAGUUUUGGUUUGGUUGUUGCCGGCUCUCCUCUUUCGCGCUGCCGGGAACAAACGGGAAACUUCCAGCCGCCUGCGUACUGUACAGCCCGGAUCCCAGGGAGGCCGGAGGGACCUGGGGAGGGUGAGAAGGCAACCGGGGGGGAGGCGGGAAAGGGGAGGAGAAGACUUUCAGGGUGCCGAGAGUUUUUUGGGGCUGAGCGGGUCUAUUUGGCCCCCAGCAGAUUGCCCCCCUCUCCUGCCCUCCCCUCCUCUUCCUCCUCCUCCUCCUCCACCCCUCUCCUCCCCCUGGCUUUGUGUGCCCUGAGCCCACUCCUCCCCCUUUUGUCACCCGGGCAUUCCGCUUUGGUUAGCACACACAAUGGGCGCUCAGUGCUCACCCUCCUGACACUGCAUUCUGCCUGUGCACCAGGGAGUGGGCACGGGAGGGGGAGGCAAUGGGGUCCGGAGGGGGGGAAGGGGAGGGGAGGGUUAGAGGAUGACAGCGACUCACCCCAUGUGACCAAAAAUGCCAUCAAGCAUCGACUCCCCCCCCCUCCCCCCUCUCCCUCCCUCCCUCCCCUGCUCCGAAGGCCGUCGUGUAACUUCACCCAUGCAGAUGGGCAGCAGAAGUAGUGCCAGCGGGCCUGGUUGGCACGGCGGGAGAAAACACACCCCCCCCCCCAAAAAAAACCUUGUGUUCGCUAAAGCAAACAAACGAACAGGUGUCUCUCGUGGCUGACUGGAGCCCUGCCUCCAUCCAGGGGUCCGCGUGCCCGGCUACACGUGUGUUCCCUUCGACUUCGUCGUGCCGGCCACGCGUCCUGAGCGGGAUUUUAAGACCUGGCUUCGGGAACAUUUCUGUCUGAAAAUGAAUCCCUUACAUCGACAACGGCAGUGGUGGAGUUGGCCCAAUUACAAGUCCAGGCUUUAACCGCUUUGACGUGUUUAUCAAAUAUUUGGAACUCUUCCUGGCCCUCCGGCGGGUUUUUUGGCCCUGAUGAUAUAAUGGCAUAGUUUGACCUGUCAUGGCUUCUGUUAUUUUGUAAAUAGCUGCACGUGCACAACUGCCAAACAAAUGAUUGCACUUAAGUAAAGUAAUACAUUGUGGCCAUAAACACAGAAGGAAACCCUCGACUGUAAAUAGAGCAGCUUCCUUUCCCAUCUGUCCAUUGACAUGACCCUUUCUUAUUAAUUGAACCCUCAACAAACACUGCCUAAUCAUAUGUCACCUGAAAGAACCUCAGGUGCAAAAGUUUGAGAGUGAAGUUGCAGAACAUGUAACUUGAAUUGCUAUUUAAGCACAGCAACAAGUGGAGGAUGACGGGGUCCGUGCAUGUGUGUGUGUGUGGCAGCAGCUCAGGAGCUGGUGGGGGGUUAGUUUGGGUUUCAAAGACCCUGCUUGUUCGCCCAUAUUUCACACCACGGUGACAUCUUAAAGCCCAGACAGGCCUGGUUGCUUCGCCCUCUCUUUCACUUUCUGAGAAAAAAGGGGAAUUGGGAUGUGAGGGAGGGGGUAACUGAAAUAUAUGCAAAUGGUCCCCCAGAGGGGAUACGAAUUUUAUGGGUUUAGAAUUUAGUUCAGCCAACCUGAAUAAUCAAAUGUGGGAACAAAAAAAAAAAAAAAAACGAGAACCCCCACCAUCCCGCCACCGCAACUCCAUACCUCGAGCUUCAACCCCCCACCUCAGGCCUCAUCUCUGUCCCCUCCUGCCAGGUCCUCGCAUAAGAGGAGCUCAGUACGUCCAAACUCUUAUUAGGAUCUCCUUACGAGGCAGGGGAAUGGAAGAGAAAUGAGG